GGGGAUAAACUGCGUUAAGCGUGUGCACGCACGUGAGCACGUCGCGGGCCACGCUUCUGGUGCACGCACGUGAGCACGUUCGCGUGCUUAUGCGCGGGCAUCGGCGCGUGCAUCCGCGUACGCAGUUUUCUCAGUACAAUUUUGACGUUGGAGGUGUACAGUCGAAUAAGUAAUAAUGGAUAAAUUAAUGUUGUAUUAUUUAUCAAGACGACGGCGACGACGAAUUGCCAAAAAAAGACGCCAGCCAGUAAGCCCGUUCGUUGAAUCUAGGUUACUGUGCGGGGAAUUCGUGGUGAAGUUUGGUAUAUUAAGAAAAAAUGAAAGGUUUUUUUUCAAAUAUUUUAAAGUUUCAUUACAAGUCUAUGAUGAAUUAUAUUCAAAACUGGAGCCCUAUUUGAAGACUAACAAUCUACGAUUGAAAUCUACGUCAAUCGUAUCACCAAUGGAACGAUUUGCAAUGACAUUGCGUUGGUAAUAAUGACUUAAAAAAAUUCAAGUCUUCGUCCAUAUUAUCUGCAGUGUUAUUCUUCACGCAAUUUAACAACUCUAAUUCGAAAUCAGUUGGCGAUUCGCACUUACGUUUCUUGGAAGAUCGUGUUUCUUUGGUAACGCUGGAGCUGGUGCUAGGUACAUUAAUCAAAUCUUCUUCAAUAAUCGUAUUAUUUUGUGAAGUUCUCGGUGACGCGUUUUGCUCUACUGACUGAUUAAAAUUGUCUGCCGAUUCUUCUCCUUGAGUAUUCGAGUUUGAAUCUAAAAAUGACAGCAUGUUAUAGUAAAUGUAUGUUUUAUUUGCCCUGGAACCGGAGCCUGAUUUAAGUUUUUUUUUAGUAGACCUCACUCUUAUAUAAGUGUCUCUUGCAGUUUUCCAUCUUUGCUGCAGCUUUUUCACUGAAACAAUAACACAGGUAUUUUAUUUUAUUACAGAUAUUUAGUUAGUGGACAUACCUUCGUCGAUAUUCAUCUGGCGUAUCAGACAGGACUAACCACGGUCAGAAAAAUAGUAACAGAAGUUUGUCAAAUUAUAAUUGAAAGGUUAAAGGAAGAAUGUAUACCAAAAUUUUCCCGUGCGCUAUGGGUAGAGACUGAAAAAGGUUUUUUAACGCAAGCCCAGUUUCCUAACUGCAUAGGUGCAAUAGACGGAAAACAUAUACGCAUUAUAAGACCUCCACAUAGUGGUUCCCUCUAUUACAACUAUAAGCAUUACUAUUCUAUUGUACUGCUUGCAAUGUGUAACGCCAACUAUGAGUUUACCUAUAUAAACGUGGGAGUGCAGGGUAAAGAAUCUGACUCCGCAAUUUUCACACAAAGCCGAUUGUACGAACAAAUCAACAAUGACUUAAUAGAUAUUCCUCCUGCCAAAGCAUUGCCCGUAAUACACAAUGAUAAACCAACCAACAUUGCUGCAACCGCAGCUUUGCCCUAUAUUAUUGUAGGAGAUGAAGCAUUUGGGUUAUCUAGCCAUGUCAUGCGGCCAUAUGCUCGAGCUCUCGAUUUAAACUACAAAAAAAAAAUAUUCAAUUAUAGGUUAACGAGAGCGCGACGUUAUAUUGAGUGUACAUUUGGUAUCAUGGCUAAUAAAUUUCGCAUACUCCAUCGUCCAUUGAACGUUGGAAAAGACAAAGCAAUUUGUUUUCUUAAAACAAUUUGUAUUUUGCAUAAUUUUAUAAGAUCAAGAAGUCAAAUUAAUGACUUUCAUGAUAUUGUCAUUAUACCAGACCAUAUACGUUCAGUUCGGGGGUUAAUUGGAAAUACCCACAGAGAUUCGUAUACAUUACGCGAUAACUUCGCAGAUUAUUUCGUUGCAGACGGACAGCUGUCAUGGCAAGAUCGCAGUAUUUAUUGAAGGCUUUUUUAUAAUUUAUGUACAUUCAAUAAUUGAAUUUUCACGGUUUUUUACCACACAUUUUUUAUUAACAUAGCAGGCAUAUUUUAAUAAUAUACCUAAUGAUUUUAUUUGUUAAAUUCAUCGGAUGUAACCAGUUGCGCCGCCAUGACAGUCGAAAAUUAUAAGAAAUUCAGUAUUCUUACAUUAAAUAGGUAAAAUGUUAUGUAAUUACGCAUAAAAUGAAACUUUUUUUCUUUCAUUACACAUCCAGUGAUGUGUAGUUUGUACAGUGUCUAAAAACACAAGUAGGCAUCUUUUUUACUAAAAUAUUAUUGGUACUCAAACACAUGUAGACGCGACACCGAUUGGAGCGUGACUAACUGCAUGGUAGGCAAUUACCUUCCAUUGCUCUUGCCUUUGAAAGCGGGCGUAUAACUAAUCUAGUUAUAUAAAAUCAUAGGAUGUAACCAAAUAACUUAGAUUGUUGUAAACUAAAGUUGAGAGAUGUCAAAGAAAAACCUACAAAACUACAAAACGCACGCUUAUUUUACAAAGUUACUAGCCCAAUUCUAAAACCAAUAUAAUAAAUAUUUUAGUUGAUAA